GGAGGGUAACCGGAAGAAAUUCCGACUAAUACCGCAUAAUACUUUCCGGAGACAUCUCCGGAGAUUCAAAGGAAGUGAUUCCGGCAAAGGAUGGGCAUGCGUCGCAUUAGCUAGUCGGCGGGGUAACGGCCCACCGAGGCGACGAUGCGUAGGGGUUCUGAGAGGAAGGUCCCCCACACUGGUACUGAGACACGGACCAGACUCCUACGGGAGGCAGCAG
rnacentral:rRNA from 1 species